AUUGAACGCUGGCGGCAUGCCUUACACAUGCAAGUCGAACGGCAGCACGGGUGCUUGCACCUGGUGGCGAGUGGCGAACGGGUGAGUAAUACAUCGGAACAUGUCCUGUAGUGGGGGAUAGCCCGGCGAAAGCCGGAUUAAUACCGCAUACGAUCUACGGAUGAAAGCGGGGGACCUUCGGGCCUCGCGCUAUAGGGUUGGCCGAUGGCGGAUUAGCUAGUGGGUGGGGUAAAGGACUACCAAGGCGACGAUCAGUAGCUGGUCUGAGAGGACGACCAGCCACACUGGGACUGAGACACGGCCCAGACUCCUACGGGAGGCAGCAGUGGGGAAUUUUGGACAAUGGGCGAAAGCCUGAUCCAGCAAUGCCGCGUGUGUGAAGAAGGCCUUCGGGUUGUAAAGCACUUUUGUCCGGAAAGAAAUCCUUUGCCCUAAUACGGUCGGGGGAUGACGGUACCGGAAGAAUAAGCACCGGCUAACUACGUG
rnacentral:rRNA from 1 species